rnacentral:rRNA from 1 species
GUCCACGCCCUAAACGAUGGAUACUCGACAUCAGCGAUACACUGUUGGUGUCUGAGCGAAAGCAUUAAGUAUCCCACCUGGGAAGUACGACCGCAAGGUUGAAACUCAAAGGAAUUGGCGGGGGUCCGCACAAGCGGUGGAGCAUGUGGUUUAAUUCGAUUGAUACGCGAGGAACCUUACCUGGGCUAGAAUGCAUUUUGAUCGCAGGUGAAAGCUUGUUUUGUAGCAAUACACAAUUUGUAAGGUGCUGCAUGGCUGUCGU